rnacentral:snRNA from 1 species
UACAGAGAAGAUUAGCAUGGCCCCUGUGCAAGGAUGACACACAAAUUCGUGAAGAGCGCCAUAUUUUU